rnacentral:rRNA from 1 species
GUAGGGUGCGAGCGUUAAUCGGAAUUACUGGGCGUAAAGCGUGCGCAGGCGGUUCGUUGUGUCGGUGGUGAAAUCCCCGGGCUUAACCUGGGAAUGGCCAUGGAAACUGGCGAACUGGAGUGCGGCAGAGGGGGGUGGAAUUCCGCGUGUAGCAGUGAAAUGCGUAGAGAUGCGGAGGAACACCGAUGGCGAAGGCAGCCCCCUGGGCUAGCACUGACGCUCAGGCACGAAAGCGUGGGGAGCAAACAGGAUUAGAUACCCUGGUAGUCCACGCCCUAAACCAUGUCAACUGGGUGUUCGGGAAGCGAUUUCUGGGUACCGUAGCUAACGCGUGAAGUUGACCGCCUGGGGAGUACGGCCGCAAGGUUA